rnacentral:lncRNA from 1 species
UUCGAGGCCGAUUUGAAGCACUCGUCGAAUAGAGCGCAAAAAGGGGGGGUCGUGAGGCAGAACCAGACCACUCAAAUGAAAAUGGAAAUCAACCCUCCUCGCCUUAGAAUUCUAAGAAGUAGUCCGGUCAACAGAUACUAAAUGAUACCGCGUCCAGUAGUGAUAUUCGAGCGCUUUAAAGGAAGGUAUUAUUCGUUGGUGCAAGGACUAUCAUCCUCAUUUAGGAUUGCUGGAAAAAGUGUAGCUUCUCAAAGAAUCUACUUUGCUAUUUUUAAGUCAAUCGCAGAUAUACUACUUAAAUCUCAAUGGCGUGUAGUUUUCUA